UCCCUGGAGGAAGAGUGGUUAGGCCACAGCGCUCUCACCGCCGUGGCCCAGUUUCGAUUCCCAGCCAGGGAA
rnacentral:tRNA from 1 species